ACUCCAUGAAGCUGGAUUCGCUAGUAAUCGCGCAUCAGCCACGGCGCGGUGAAUACGUUCCCGGGCCUUGUACACACCGCCCGUCAAGCCAUGGAAGCCGGGAGUGCCUGAAGUACGCGACCGCAAGGAGCGUCCUAAGGUAAAACCGGUGACUGGGGCUAAGUCGUAACAAGGUACC
rnacentral:rRNA from 1 species